rnacentral:miRNA from 1 species
AUAUGUGUUGGCUGUGUUCCUC